rnacentral:rRNA from 1 species
GACGAACGCUGGCGGCGUGCCUAACACAUGCAAGUCGAACGGUAAGGCCCUUCGGGGUACACGAGUGGCGAACGGGUGAGUAACACGUGGGUGAUCUGCCCUGCACUUCGGGAUAAGCCUGGGAAACUGGGUCUAAUACCGGAUAGGACUCCGGACUGCAUGGUCUGGGGUGGAAAGCUUUUGCGGUGUGGGAUGGGCCCGCGGCCUAUCAGCUUGUUGGUGGGGUGAUGGCCUACCAAGGCGACGACGGGUAGCCGGCCUGAGAGGGUGACCGGCCACACUGGGACUGAGAUACGGCCCAGACUCCUACGGGAGGCGGCAGUGGGGAAUAUUGCACAAUGGGCGCAAGCCUGAUGCAGCGACGCCGCGUGAGGGAUGACGGCCUUCGGGUUGUAAACCUCUUUCAGCACCGACGAAGCGCAAGUGACGGUAGGUGCAGAAGAAGGACCGGCCAACUACGUGCCAGCAGCCGCAGUAA